AUUGCUUUGGUCUAAUAGCUGAAUGACUUUCAUGUUUAUGGAAGACGUGGGUUCAAAUCCCACAGGCAGCC
rnacentral:tRNA from 1 species